AUACGUAUGGUGCAAGCGUUAUCCGGAUUUACUGGGUGUAAAGGGAGUGCAGGCGGUCUUGCAAGUCAGAUGUGAAAACCCAAGGCUCAACCAUGGGACUGCAUUUGAAACUGUGAGACUAGAGUAUCGGAGAGGUAAGUGGAAUUCCUAGUGUAGCGGUGAAAUGCGUAGAUAUUAGGAAGAACACCUGUGGCGAAGGCGGGUUACAGGACGAUUGCUGUCGUUGAGUCUAGAAAGCGUGGGUAGGUAAAAGGAUUAGAUACCCAGGUAGUCCACGCCGUAAACGAAGAAUACUAGGUGUCGGGGGGAAUCCGCCCUUCGGCGCCGCAGCAAACGCAAUAAGUAUUCCACCUGGGGAGUACGGCCGCAAGGUUGAAACUCAAAGGAAUUGACGGGG
rnacentral:rRNA from 1 species